rnacentral:rRNA from 1 species
UACGUAGGGGGCAAGCGUUGUCCGGAAUCAUUGGGCGUAAAGAGCGUGUAGGCGGUCCGGUAAGUCGGCUGUGAAAGUCCAGGGCUCAACCCUGGGAUGCCGGUCGAUACUGCCGGACUAGAGUUCGGAAGAGGCGAGUGGAAUUCCCGGUGUAGCGGUGAAAUGCGCAGAUAUCGGGGAGGAACACCUAUGGCGAAGGCAGCUCGCUGGGACGUUACUGACGCUGAGACGCGAAAGCGUGGGGGAGCAAACAGG